CGAUUCACAUAGAAAAAAAACUACUAAAUGAAGCAAACAUGAAGAGAAAUGUUGUCAAAUGAUCUUCACAUGGAUACAAAGUAAAUGAACAAAUUACAAAGAGAACACUCAGAAAUAGAGUAAGAGGAGCCAUUAUAAAACAAGUAAAUUAUACAAAAAGAACAGCUCUAACAUACAUACAAUCAGAAGAAUUUGUUGUAUUGAUCAGUGAGAGAACCGCGGAGAUUGGAAUAAAGGCCAUAAAGAGAGUACUGUCGAAGAUUCUUCACUUCAAACCAUGAAUUGAAAACAGAUGCAUGCUUAUCAGUGCCAGAAAAUGUAAGUUGUAUCCCGAGGCUACAAUCAACAUUACCACCUCGAUUCUUGCAGUUAUUAGUCCUGAUAGCACAGUCCUGACCGUUGAGGCACACAAAGUUUGAGUUGCCUGAGCAAGACGAGCAUCCAUCUCUCUUCCAGUACAGGUUUUCCAGCCUACCCUUUUUGAAUUCAUGUACCAGAGUAAAACUUGUUACAGUGAAUGUACUAUUAGCAACAAAAGCAGGCAAAGACCUAGCAGCAUAUUUCCGACCAGCAAAUGCAACCAUGUAACCUCCAUAAGAAUCAGGGAAGAAAUUGGAAGUGUUAAUGGUAAGCAGAGAGAUCUCAUCCACUUUAGGUCUGAACACAGCAAGUUGUGAAUUUGAAGACGAAAGAGACAGCCUCUUAUCACAAGGAGACAAUUGAACUGAGCUGUUGACGAAAAAUGAUGUUCUUGAAGAAAAUGCUAUUCCAAAGCUAAACCCAUCCGAUCUCUGCACUUUUGCAUCGGCACAAGGUGAGUAUACAUGGUUCGUGUCGCUGCGCGAUUGUGCUAAAAGGGACAGAGAUGAGAUUAGUAGAAAGACUAGUAGUAAUGGUAGCCUUUGCAUCGCCAUUGUUAGAGAACUCUGGUUCUGUGAAGACUCAAAAGAGUGGAAAAG
rnacentral:misc_RNA from 1 species